CUACGUGCCAGCAGCCGCGGUAAUACGUAGGUGGCAAGCGUUGUCCGGAAUUAUUGGGCGUAAAGCGCGCGCAGGCGGAUCAGUCAGUCUGUCUUAAAAGUUCGGGGCUUAACCCCGUGAUGGGAUGGAAACUGCUGAUCUAGAGUAUCGGAGAGGAAAGUGGAAUUCCUAGUGUAGCGGUGAAAUGCGUAGAUAUUAGGAAGAACACCAGUGGCGAAGGCGACUUUCUGGACGAAAACUGACGCUGAGGCGCGAAAGCCAGGGGAGCGAACGGGAUUAGAUACCCCGGUAGUCCUGGCCGUAAACGAUGGGUACUAGGUGUAGGAGGUAUCGACCCCUUCUGUGCCGGAGUUAACGCAAUAAGUACCCCGCCUGGGGAGUACGACCGCAAGGUUGAAACUCAAAGGAAUUGACGGGGGCCCGCACAAGCGGUGGAGUAUGUGGUUUAAUUCGACGCAACGCGAAGAACCUUACCAGGUCUU
rnacentral:rRNA from 1 species